UACAGAGGUCUCAAGCGUUGUUCGGAUUCAUUGGGCGUAAAGGGUGUGUAGGUGGCGCGCUAAGUCGGGUGUGAAAUUUCGGAGCUUAACUCCGAAACUGCAUUCGAUACUGGCGUGCUUGAGGACUGGAGAGGAGACUGGAAUUCAUGGUGUAGCAGUGAAAUGCGUAGAGAUCAUGAGGAAGACCAGUGGCGAAGGCGGGUCUCUGGACAGUUCCUGACACUGAGACACGAAGGCCAGGGGAGCAAAACAGG
rnacentral:rRNA from 1 species